ACAGAAUUGGCGGGGACUUUUAAAAACGGUGGAACAUGUGGUUUAAUGCGAUAAUCCACGUAAAAUCUUACCAACUAUAAGUUUUUACUAAAUAUACAUACAUAUUUUAUAGUAAAACAGGAGUAUUGCAUGGCUGUCGUCAGCUCGUGCUUUGCUGUAUAGGAUUAAGUUCUAUUAACGAGCGCAACCCCUAACAAUAAAUAACGGCAUUCGUGUUGUUUUUUAUAAAGUAACAUUUCACUAGCAAGCCUUUUUAUAAGAAUGCUUGCUAGCGUUUUGUUGGUUGUUGGGCUGAAGUCAAGUCCUCACGGUCUUGGUUAGUUGGGCUACACACGUGUUACAUGGGCAAAAACAAAUAGUAACGACAAAGAAAUUUUGAGUGAUCUACAAAAAUUGCCGUGUUCGGACUAAACUCUGCAACUUGGGUUAGAAAGGUGAAAUCGUUAGUAAUCGCAGAUUAUUAAGCUGCGGUGAAUAUUAAAUAGAGUUCUG
rnacentral:rRNA from 1 species